AAAAGGUCGCAGGUUCUUGAAUCAGAGUUGGGUCCUGUAUGCUAAUCCUCAUUUUUAGGACGUCGUGUGAUUUUGAUCGUUCAUUUUAUGCCAGCUUGAUGGACUUUAUUAUGAUUUCGAAAAUAUUACGAAAUUUAUUUUUUAGAAAUUUCAAAUACUCUAGAUCACAUUUAAUGGAGUGGAUCGUCGAUUCGAAAGCUUCAUCAUCCAAAACAACAUAUAAGUAUGAAAGACUCUAUACUUAUAUAGCCCUACUCUCUCUCUCUACAUAUACAGACACAAAAUGAUUUAGCUUAUUAAAAAAAUACUGGAAGGUCGAAGAUAUUAUCUAUUCUAAAUAUUUGAUCACUCUACUUAUCCACUAAAAACUACAUAUUUUUUUAAUAAAUUAAAAAGAUAUUGUAUAGAAAAAUAUUUGCACGU
rnacentral:lncRNA from 1 species